AUACAGAGGGAGCAAGCGUUGUUCGGAAUUACUGGGCGUAAAGGGCGCGUAGGCGGUUCAGCAAGUCUUGUGUGAAAUCCCCCGGCUCAACUGGGGAACUGCAUAGGAAACUGCUGGACUUGAGUUCAGGAGAGGGAAGCGGAAUUCCGGGUGUAGCGGUGAAAUGCGUAGAUAUCCGGAGGAACACCGGUGGCGAAGGCGGCUUCCUGGACCGAUACUGACGCUGAGGCGCGAAAGCUAGGGUAGCAAACGGGAUUAGAAACCCCAGUAGUCC
rnacentral:rRNA from 1 species